GCUGGAAGGUCGCCUCAGAAGCUCAGGGAAGGGGCAUAGCAGAAGGAGCUUGGCUCCCGGGGACCUGCCCAGCUGCACGGGGUCAGGUGGGGCAGGCUUUGCUCUGAUCAGCCAUGUGCCUGCCAAAAAUGGGGAUUCCAGCAUCAAAGGAAAGGGAGAGAAGGGCAUUGGGGAGGCUCCCCAGAGUCUCUGCCACAGCGUAUAGACAGAAGGGAUAUGCGCAGAGGAAACGAGAGAGGAGUUGGGGGGUGAGGACCUCCCCAAGAGGCAGAGGGAAGCCUCUAGAAGAUGAGAAGGGGCCAAGCACUGGGGGCCCAGGAGGGCAGGUUCCAGAAGUGGGAGCCAUGAGCUAAGGCACAGAAGGCUUUAAGGUGUUCUGAGGGCAGAGAAGGUGCAGGGGGCCGAGUGAGGGAGCAGGGGUCCAGGGACAGGCACAGGCCUGCUAGGCCCGGGGUCUCUUCUCAAGGUGAGGGGAGAGGGCGGCCACGGCGGGGUGCUUUGAUCGGCUCAUCUCACUUUCCAGGGGAAAUCAGAGCUUCUGAAAACUCCUACUUCUGUCAGGCUGCCAGGCAGCUGGCCUCAGUGCCGUCGUCUCAGCUCUGCGUCAAGCUUGCCAGUGGCGGUGACCCCACAUAUGCCUUCAACAUCCGCUUCACUGGCGAGGAGGUCCAUGGCACCAGCGGCUCUUUCCGCCACUUCCUGUGGCAGGUGUGUAAGGAGCUGCAGAGUUCCUCACUGUCGCUGCUGCUGCUGUGCCCCAGCUCAGCUGUCAAUAAGAACAAGGGCAAAUAUAUCCUGACCCCGAGCCCCAUCACCUACGGGGAGGAGCAGCUGCUGCACUUCCUGGGGCAGCUGCUGGGGAUUGCUAUUCGGGCAGACGUCCCGCUACCCCUGGACCUCCUGCCCUCCUUCUGGAAGACGCUGGUGGGCGAGCCCUUGGACCCUGAGCAAGACCUGCAGGAAGCGGACAUCCUCACCUACAAUUACGUCAAGAAGUUUGAGAGCAUCAAUGAUGAGACCGAGCUGGAGGCCCUGUGCGCUGAGAUUGCCUCCCAGCACCUGGCCACCGAGAGCCCCGACAGCCCCAACAAGCCCUGCUGCAGGUUCACCUACCUGACCAUGACGGGCGAGGAGGUGGAGCUGUGCAGCCGGGGCCGGCACAUCCUUGUGGCGUGGGAGAACAAGGACAUCUACGCGGCAGCCAUCCGGAGCCUGCGGCUGCGGGAGCUGCAGAAUGUGGAAUGCGUGACGGCCGUGCGGGCCGGCCUGGGCUCCAUCAUCCCCCUGCAGCUGCUGACCACACUCAGCCCGCUGGAGAUGGAGCUGCGCACCUGCGGCCUCCCCUACAUCAACCUCGAGUUCCUCAAGGCCCACACCAUGUACCAGGUGGGGCUGAUGGAGACGGACCAGCACAUCGAGUUCUUCUGGGGGGCGCUGGAGAUGUUCACCCAGGAGGAGCUGUGCAAGUUCAUCAAGUUUGCCUGCAACCAGGAGCGCAUCCCAUUCACCUGCCCCUGCAAAGAUGGGGGUCCCGACACCGCCCAUGUUCCCCCAUACCCCAUGAAGAUCGCCCCCCCAGAUGGCACAGCAGGUACCGCCCUCCCCUGGUCAUGUCCCAAGUAGGGACACACUAGCCUUUCUCUGUUUGAAACUGGGGCUUCCAGGCCCCAUGUGAAGGGAGAACAAUGAACAGGAGCCCCACAUGCCAAAACUCAGACAUCAUUGAGGAUUAGGGCCGGGCAGGAACCAGCCAUACAGGCCUGCUGUUAGAUACUUUCUCAUAUCUUAAAAGAAGCGGAAAAUCCAGAAUGCUUCAAAUCUUCUAACCUUUAAAUGCAGAAAAAAAAAAAAC
rnacentral:sRNA from 1 species